UGGUUUUGGCAUCGAUGAAGAACGCAGCGAAAUGCGAUAAGUAAUGCGAAUUGCAGAAUCCGUGAGUCAUCGAAUCUUUGAACGCACAUUGCGCCCUUUGGUAUUCCGAAGGGCAUGCCUGUUCGAGCGUCAUUAUCACCCCUCAAGCCUGGCUUGCUGUUGAACGUUAGGUCGGCCUCCGGGCGCGGACCUGUUCCAAAGAUAAUGGCGGCGUCUGUGAGGACCCCGGUACAAUGAGCUCUAAUCGGCACGUACCUAGCGGGAGUCCAGGCCCGGUCUUUCAUAAUUUUAUCAAGGUUGACCUCGGAUCAGGUAGGAAUACCCGCUGA
rnacentral:misc_RNA from 1 species